GUGGGUAUGGCCCACUGGUAGAGCACAUGCUUAGCGUACACAAGGUCCUGGGUUCAAUCCCCAGUACUUCCA
rnacentral:tRNA from 1 species